rnacentral:lncRNA from 1 species
UUUUAACAAAUUUCUUUUUUUUACCUGUAUAAAGUUUUCAGAACUUUUUCAAGCUUGGAAAAAAUAUGCUCUAGAUCAUAGACGGUUCUACAUGAAUUGCUUUGUAGUAACACCUGAAGCAAUUAAAAUCACCUAUUGAACCUGCAACCCAUUUGUCAUGAGUACAUCUAUACUGAUGGGUCCCCGGCCGUCUUUGAUGAGCCACAGAAAACUCGCAAUGAAAGCAUGUGAUAUAUCUUAGACGACUCUCAACGAGAGCCAUCAGUGACCUGAAUAUACCAAAAUCAAUUUUACUGAGAGCCUUCUAUGAACAUCCGACGACCUCAUAUGAACGUCCUGAUAUUUUGAAUCUCUUGCUUGAGACCCGUCCUGAUGUUUGCCAAUGACCAUCAUCAUGUCGACUACCUCUGGUCUGGGUUUUCUUUUAUUGUGUCACAACUGCAUAUGCAUGAAUGAGAAGAAAAAGGCUAGAGGUAAUAUAUAGCCAGCUAGCUAGAAUGAAACGAAUGAAGGAGUAAGAAGUAAGAACACACCCCCCCUGUACAAGGGAAGAGGGCUCACGAACAAACAACAUAGUGAGUACAUAGCCAGACCUCACGUACCUAUAUAUCACAUCGACGAUGCUCUUGCGCGCUACAGAAUGAUGGAUAUGCUUGCUUAUAUAGAUGUAGGGGCUUGAGAAACUCCACCCCUAGACUAUCUGUUGAUCUCAGCCCCGAUGGCCGGCUUCUGCGCUUGUAUAGAUGGUUUUCUUCUGAAGGAGGCUCGACGGUUGAACCGAUCAAUGAAUUGGCGUGCAGAUUAUGAGAGGUUGGAAGAC